GAGUAAGGUGUGAUUGCCAAAGCUUGCAGGUUUAUAAUUGCCUUAAAUAUACUUGGGCUAUCUGCCGGAGUCACCGGGAGGUCUUCUGAGUCCAUGAGGGUGCAGGGGAGGCAAAACUUUACCUCGCUCCAUCUUAGGCUUUCAGCUGGGAGUCUUUAACAAAAAGACAGAUUAACGGAGGAAAAACAGUUCGUUAAGGCAUGCAGCGCACAUCACGUGGGAGAAACAGAAACCAAGACUAACUCAAAAUGGCGGCUUUGAAUUCCAGCUUGUAUAGCAUCUUCAACAAAAACCAACAAAUUUGUAGAGAAACGACAGGACAAAGGGAGGCGGUUUUAGGCUUCCAAAGGCGGCAAACCGUGGGAAGGUCAGGAAUCCAGGUGUCAUUUAGGUCAGUUCUCUGUUCUUUCAAAGGCCGCAAUCAAGGUCUCGGUGACAGUCAUCUCAAGGCUCGACUUGGGGAAGAUCUGUGUCCCAGCACAUUCCCGUGGCUGUCAGCAGGAUUCAGUUCUCACAGCUGUUGUUGGUCUAAGAGACGUGGGCAAAGAAAACAAGCUGGAAAAUCAGUGCAGCAAAUGGCAAACAUGCCCCGGGUGUGGAUUAGACUGAGAACCAGUGUCAGCGAGAACAUCGUAUUUGAGUAACGCUGUUCCCAGAUUGGUAAACUUAGAUCUGCUGUACUUUUAGUCUAAAACACAUUGAAACACUGAUGUGGCUGUGAAGGCACAGAUGUGAUCAGAACGGGCAGUUUGGUGAUGAAAGUUCAGACAUCUCUGAUUUCAUCUAGGUCCAGCCCAUGCCUAUCACAGAUGAGGAAGAGAAGGCUCUGGGAUAGGAAAGUGACUUGCUCAAGUUAACAGUCUGGCUGGUGACGGGACCACAUGAGCGUUUAAUCCAUUGUCUUUGACAUGAAGCAUUAUAGAAAUGGAGUCCCACAAGUGAAUAAAAUUGUGGCAGUGUUUCAUUACCACUGAUGGAGACUGUGCCUCCAACGCAUUUCUGGAAGCUGGGAAGUCCAAGAUCAAGGUGCCAGCAAAUUCUGUUUCUGCCCAUCAUUUCCUACAACAUCCUGGAAAAAAAGCAGAAAUUCAGGAACAUGUUAGGGAAGGAGAAAUGGCAGGGGGUGGCACUGUUUCUUACCUUCAGGAACAAUGACUUGAGUGUGGACUCCACGUUUGGUGAGCUCAGAUCUCCAAUCUCCAAAGAGCUGCACAUCAGUUUCUCUUCCCCCGUCCAGCUGAAUCAGUCCUUCCACCACCCCUCCACCCGUGAAAGAUCCCAAUGGAAAUGGAAUAUAUAGAACAAAAUCUAAGAACUCUUUGUGCUUGUUAGAAAAAGCCUAUGAUCUCAUCCAGCUAAAAACAUUUCAACGUUGGUCCAUUAAAGAAAAUGACUAACCAGUCAUCCGAAAUUAUGUUGUGGAGACCAUUUAAUGAUCUAGGGGAAAUGCUCAUAUCAUGGUAAGUGAAAAAGCAGGACCCCAAACUCUAUAAAUAGCAUAAUCCCAAUUUGGGGGAAUAAAUGUCUGGGGAAGAAAUGAUGGAGGAAAACACUCCAAAAUAUUACAAUGUUUAUCUCUGGGUGAUGGUAGGAUUCUGAGCUAUUUUUGUUUUGUUCUUUGCAUUUUUCUAUAUGUACAGGCUUUUCUAUAAGGAGCAAGUUACUUUUAUAACAACACCAACAAAAAAUUAGGUUUGAAAAAAGGAAAGAAAGCUACUGACCGCGCCAGAUAGUCUUCUGCCCAUUCUCUGACAAAAAAGUCCCUCAGUGUUUGUCUUGGAGCCAGAGUCCUGCUACAUGUCAGCACGGACCGCCGCUCACCCGGCCAGACCAAAGGUGUGGCCCUGGUGAACAGAGUCCCAGGGCUGUGUGGGGUCUCGACCUGGAGGGGACUUUUGUUUUGAUUGCAGAUGUUUGCACUGGCACUGCUUGCCCUGUCUCUUCCCAUUGCCCAGGUGCCUUGAUGUGAGUGCUCUGGAGUCCUGUUCACCCGCCCCCGAUCUUCCACCUGUAAGUGCUUCAGUUUGAUGGGAGUUGCAUUUCCCUGAAGAGUGAGGAGGCCCCAAGAGGAAAAGUCCUGCUUACUCUUAUCCUCACCGUGCCAGACCUGCCUGCUCACAACGGCGGGGGACACAUGGGGCACCAGGACACUUGUGCGGCACUGAAUGAGGACAUCCCCUCGUGAGUUCCAUUCUUCCCCCUCUGAGCUCAAGCCCCCCCAUUCGCGAGGGACUGCAGAGCAAUGGGCACUGCUAGGAAACAGAGAGGAACACUGGGCCUCUGAGAAAGUGGGAGUUUGGGUUGCAAAGUUAAUUGCAGUUUUCAU
ensembl:lncRNA